CUCUCCUCCCACUCCCUCACUUCUCUCCACUUUCCCCCUCCCCCGCGCAGAACCACCUCCAUCCUCCCCCGUCGCCCGCUUCCUCCUACCCAGCCGCGUGCCACCGCGCCUACCACCUUCCUCCCCCACCUACCUCCCACGGCUGGCGCGCUGCCCAACCACCCCGCCCCACCCUGCCGGUGGCCUUCCUCCCAUCGCCGGUGAGCCACCCCUCCGACUGCUUCCCAGCAUGAACCGGCGCCGGAUCCAGGCCUCGACGGGCCCCCGCGACGUCCCGGCGCCGGAUCCAGGCCAGGGCAGGCCCCCAUGACGCCCCGCUGCCGGAGCCAGGCCGCGACGGCCCCCCGCGCCGCCGCCCAACCUGCUCUGCCCGCGCCACCGCCCAACCUGCUUCCCUCAUGCCGCCGCCUAACCUCCUCCCCCCGAGCCGCCGCCCCACCUCCGCGACUCACCCUUCCCUCCCCGGCCUCCUUCUACCUCCGCCGUCGCACCGGCCGGCCUAGCCCCGCCGUCAUCCUCGAGAAGUGCGCCGCGAGCCCUGGAGCAGUGCACCGCGAGCCUCUCUAGCAGCUCAUCCAUGGGCGCCGGCAAUUUUUUUGGCUUCUGCAGUUCGGUGCCCCCCGCGUGCAGUCCGGUGGUGCUAUGCAUGUAGUGCUCAGGUGAGCCGCACUGCAGCUCGGUUUGGUGGGCGCCACUGUCCUCCGACGGGCAUGUGUGCAGUGCAGUCCGGCGGCGAGGGUAGCCAUCUCCUCUCACGCUUCCAGCAGCAUCAGGAGGAGGAUGGUGGAGAAAUAUUCUCCCAGUGCAGCUUGCUAUCGUUGCAGGUCAGUUGGGCGUUGGUGCAGUACGCAAGCACUUGAGAGGACGAUUGGCACGCACUUCAGUUUCAGCCGUGCGACGCUGCAGUAUGGAUGCACGCGGCAGGAGGUUCGUUGCUGCAGUUUGCUUGGUGUUGGCAGGAGGUUCUUCAGCUGGCCCAUGUAGUUUACCUGGUGCAGUUCGGCCGGUUGAUGGUUGCGGUUAAAAGGAAAAUUGGGUGGGGUCCACUUUCUUUGGGAUGAAAAAAUAAGUGCAAAUGUGGUUCACUAAUUAUUUUCUCAGGGUUCAGUUAACUAUAUUUUGUGUGAUGAGAGCCGCUCCGACGUUUGAUGUAGUUAACUGAACCCUGAGAAAAGUUAUAUGGACUCGUUUGAAAAUUGUUUACCAAAGAAGUUCAUUUAGAAUUGUGUUGCGGCUCAUUUCUCUCGACCAUGCGGUUUGCUUCUUCGCACGUGUAUAGCUCGCCAAUGUGGAAAUCCAAAACUCCAAACAGAAAAAAGAAAGAAGGAAAUGAAGUGCAAAGAUAUGUUAAAUGAAAAAUGGUAGAGAAACGACAAAAAAAGUAAUGCCAUUCACUUGACCAUUUGAUGCAGUGCAAAAAUGUGUUAAAUGAAAAAUGGUACAGAAACGACAAAAAAAAGUAAUGCCGUUCACUUGACCAUUUGAUGCAGUGCGGUUUUCUAACUGAAGCAGUGCGGUCGAGUGUCUGAUGUUGUUCAUCUUGCAAGUGAUCAUUUGAUGCAGUGCGGUUUUCUAACGGAAGCAGUGUUGUCGGGUGUCUAGUGUUGUUCAUCUUGUAAAUGCAAAGAAAAAAUGUUACUGAAAUGACAAAUAAAGUAAUGCGGUUUACUUCUUCA